CCACCACCAAAGCUACAUCAUAAGCCAGCGAAAAGGAGCAAGAAGGGAGGAGAGUGAGGAGAGUGUUAGGCGACAACGAGAGAGGAAAAAUGAAGGAGGAGAACAGUGGAGCUAGGCUUUUUGUUAGAUUUUAGGUGGCGGUGGAGUUAGGCCGGAAGACUGUUUCAAUGGAAUUUAGUGGCGGCUCCGACUUUUUAGAGA
rnacentral:lncRNA from 1 species